rnacentral:rRNA from 1 species
ACGAACGCUGGCGGCGUGCUUAACACAUGCAAGUCGCACGGAAAGGCCCUGCUUUUGUGGGGUUCUCGAGUGGCGAACGGGUGAGUAACACGUUAGUAACCUGCCCUUGACUUUUGGUUAACUUCAGGAAACUUGGGCUAAUACCGGAUAGGAGCUCCUGCUGCAUGGUGGGGGUUGGAAAGUUUCGGCGGUUGGGGAUGGACUCGCGGCUUAUCAGCUUGUUGGUGGGGUAGUGGCUUACCAAGGCUUUGACGGGUAGCCGGCCUGAGAGGGUUACCGGCCACAUUGGGACUGAGAUACGGCCCAGACUCCUACGGGAGGCAGCAGUGGGGAAUAUUGCACAAUGGGCGGAAGCCUGAUGCAGCAACGCCGCGUGCGGGAUGACGGCCUUCGGGUUGUAAACCGCUUUCGCCUGUGACGAAGAGUGAGUGACGGUAAUGGGUAAAGAAGCACCGGCUAACUACGUG